rnacentral:rRNA from 1 species
AUACGGAGGGUGCAAGCGUUAUGCGGAAUCACUGGGCGUAAAGGACGCGUAGGCGGGUUGGCAAGUCAGAUGUGAAAUCCUACAGCUUAACUGUAGAACUGCAUUUGAAACUGCUAACCUAGAGUAUGAGAGGGGGAGAUGGAAUUAGUGGUGUAGGGGUAAAAUCCGUAGAUAUCACUAGGAAUACCGAAAGCGAAGGCGAUCUCCUGGAACAUAACUGACGCUAAGGCGUGAAAGCGUGGGGAGCAAACAGGAUUAGAAACCCGGGUAGUCC